rnacentral:rRNA from 1 species
UCAGGAUGAACGCUAGCUACAGGCUUAACACAUGCAAGUCGAGGGGCAGCAUUGGGAUAGCUUGCUAUUCAGAUGGCGACCGGCGCACGGGUGAGUAACGCGUAUCCAACCUCCUGCCAGUAGGGAACAGCCCGGCGAAAGUCGGAUUAAUGCCCUAUGUUCUUCAAUGCGGACAUCUAAGUUGAAGGAAAGAUUCAUCGCUGGCAGAUGGGGAUGCGUCCGAUUAGCUUGCCGGCGGGGUAACGGCCCACCGGGGCGACGAUCGGUAGGGGUUCUGAGAGGAAGGUCCCCCACACUGGUACUGAGACACGGACCAGACUCCUACGGGAGGCAGCAGUGAGGAAUAUUGGUCAAUGGGCGUAAGCCUGAACCAGCCAAGUAGCGUGCAAGGAUGACGGCCCUACGGGUUGUAAACUGCUUUUAUGCGGGGAUAAAGUGCGGCACGUGUGCCGCUUUGCAGGUACCGCAUGAAUAAGGACCGGCUAAUUCCGUGCCAGCCGCCGC